AAGGAUCGUUAAUGAAUUCACUAUGGAGUUGUUGCUGGCCUCUAGGGGCAUGUGCACGCUUCACUAGUCUUUCAACCACCUGUGAACUUUUGAUAGAUCUGUGAAGUCGUCUUUCAAGUCGUUAGACUUGGUUUGCUGGGAUGUAAACGUCUCGGUGUGACUACGCAGUCUAUUUACUUAUAACACCCCAAAUGUAUGUUUACGAAUGUCAUUUAAAGGGCCUUGUGCCUAUAAACCAUAAUACAACUUUCAACAACGGAUCUCUUGGCUCUCGCAUCGAUGAAGAACGCAGCGAAAUGCGAUAAGUAAUGUGAAUUGCAGAAUUCAGUGAAUCAUCGAAUCUUUGAACGCACCUUGCGCCCCUUGGUAUUCCGAGGGGCAUGCCUGUUUGAGUGUCAUUAAAUUCUCAAACUCACUCUGGUUUUUCCAAUUGUGAUGUUUGGAUUGUUGGGGGCUGCUGGCCUUGACAGGUCGGCUCCUCUUAAAUGCAUUAGCAGGACUUCUCAUUGCCUCUGCGCAUGAUGUGAUAAUUAUCACUCAUCAAUAGCACGCAUGAAUAGAGUCUGGCUCUCUAACCGUCCGCAAGGACAAUUUGACAAUUUGACCUCAAAUCAGGUAGGACUACCCGCUGAACUUAA
rnacentral:rRNA from 1 species